rnacentral:rRNA from 1 species
GAUGAACGCUGGCGGCGUGCCUAAUACAUGCAAGUCGAGCGAACAGACGCUGAGCUUGUUCCUUUGACGUUAGCGGCGGACGGGUGAGUAACACGUGGAUAACCUACCUAUAAGUCUGGGAUAAUUUCGUGAAACAGGCUCUAAUCCCGUAUAAUAUAUUGAACCACAUUGUUCAAUAGUGAAAGACGGUUUUGCUGUCUCGUAUAGAUGUAUCCUGUCUUCUUUAGCUAGUUGGUAAGGUAACGGCUUACCAAGGCGACGAUGCGUAGCCGACCUGAGAGGGUGAUCGGCCACACUGGAACUGAGACACGGUCCAGACUCCUACGGGAGGCAGCAGUAGGGAAUCUUCGGCAAUGGGCGAAAGCCUGACGGAGCAACGCCGCGUGAGUGAUGAAGGUCUUCGGAUCGUAAAACUCUGUUAUUAGGGAAGAACAAAUGUGUAAGUAACUAUGCCCGUCUUGACGGUACCUAAUCAAAAAGCCACGGCUAACUACGUG